CAAACGGCUCUUUUAAGAGCCAACCACAUCAUUCAUAAAGAGUGUAU
rfam:Larimichthys crocea isolate SSNF unplaced genomic scaffold scaffold101, whole genome shotgun sequence.